AAAAAUUGAGAGUUGAUUUAAAGCCCGAAAUUGGGCCAAGUUAGUGUAAAAUCCAAAACUUUUGACCCCAUCCGCACAGGCCCAAUCCCCAAACCCGAUCCAUUCCCUUUCCUAACCAAACGAUCGUUGAGAACUGGGGGAUCAGUUGUAUUUAAAUAUUGGAACUAGCUCACCCCCACCCCCCACAGUUCAUCUCCCAUUCCCUAAGCCUAACAAAACCCUAAUCAAUCCGCCGCCCCAAAAUCCCCAAACUCUCUCCGGUCGGCGUCCACCUCUAAACCUCCUCUAAACCCGCCAAAAAUCACACCCCAUAACCUUAUACUCCCCCUCAUCUCAUAUAUCGACCCAAUUCAUUCCAGAACACCCAAGAAAACCCUAGGUUUCAGAUCUAAAAAAGGGAAGUUUGACCGGAAGUCGUUGGGUUUGUUCUUUCCUCAGCAUUCAAGUUCAAAGGGGUUUGUUUAGGUUGCUUUCUCAAGUAUUUGGACUCUCAUGAGUCUUUUCCUCCGAAAAAUCUGGUCAGAGCUCCAUGCAAGGCCGGGUACCUUGGGAGAAAAGACCUUUGAGUGGUCAAUUAGAGCGAAUUAGGGCACCAAGCUGUCUCACACUUUUGGUUCAUGCAUCAAUGGUAGAUUUCACCAUUGUUUCUUCGUUUCUCUGGUGAGUCAGUUUCUUUCUCGCCUUCUUUAAUCCGCUAAUUUAAUUGUGUUCAUCUGAAAUUCAUCCCUCUUUUAACCUUCUAGUGAGGUUUUAAUUAGGUUUUGUUUCGGUUGAUUAAUUUGGAAUAAUACUAACCUUUUAGAUUAGUUUCAUAAAUUGCGGGGGUUAAAAUCGUUUAAUUCAGAUUUUCUGCUUUUUCUACUUUUCAUAAAUCACUGAAAUUUGUUUUGGGUUUGGUCACUUCAUUUGAUUGGGCUCUUGGGUCAUCUCUGACCCGGUUCAAAAAAGCCUGGUCAUUCUGGGUUGGGACUUGGGUUUAUUUGACCCAGAUUUGAUUUGUUGAAGGUUAAUAACAUGAAUUCAAAGGGUAAUUAGGGAAUUUGCAUUGAGGAAAUCUUUCUUAACUACUUGGAGAAGUUUCCAGGAAAGUGGGGAAGGGGCUGGCUUAACAAACAUGCUAAAACUUUGGGUCUGAAGUGAAAAAAAUGAAAAUUAGGGAAGGGGUAAAUGGUGAAGUUAAGAAUCAGAUUUUGCUACCCUAAGGUUCUCUAUAUAAGGCAUGUUUUUCAUUGAAAUUGGGGAGAGAUGAGAAUACUGAAAAUUAGAAACGACUGAGAGAUAUACUCUGAAAAAUAUACUAAAAUUUCUGCAUCUUUUUAGGUGGAAAUUUAUCUUGAUUUUGCUCCUUAGUUUGAGUGUUAGUCAGAAUUCAAAAGCUUCAAGGAACUUUUGUGUAUCUGGUUAAAAUGGCCUAAAGAGCUGAACAUUGCUGUGUUUGGAUCUGCUGAUUCACUACUCUUCUGCUACUGUGAAAUAUUCAUUUUCUUUGGUUUCUUUUGAUAUCCAGGUACCCCUUUGGACCUUAUUGAAUGUGAAGCUCAAAAUUGAAGCAUGUAAUCGAAUGUUGAGUUUAAGCAUAGUAUCAGCUGAUUUUGUUUAGAAUCUAGCUUUAUUUUUCUGCAUUAUAUUGAUUUUACUAUAUGAUAUAUGUAUUUGCCUAAGCUGUUGACAAUACCUUUUACGGUUGUAUUAAAAUUUAUUUUAGCAUGUGAGUUUAGUUUUGGAUAAAUUCUUCUUGUCAAGUAUACUAUAUUUGGACUUUAGUUUUGUCAUUUAGUUUUAGCUAGCUAGACUCUUAUUGUCGUAUAUUAAUUUUGGACUGUUAUGGUAUGGACUUAAAUUAGGUGAAUAACAUUUAAGUUAGUGGUGAUGUUGGAUUCUAGGUCAUCUCUCUUCAUUGACCUUAUUUUUUAAAAUUUUGAUUUUUAGUAGUUGAAUGAAUUCAAGAGUUACUCUUGCAUUGUAAUAUAUGAUGUAAAUGUCUGAAUAUUCUAUUGUGGAGGCCCUACAUGUAUGAAAUUAACACCAGUUAGUAAUAGCUUUGAUCUUAAAAAUACAUGUGGCUUGAGUAUUCAUUGAGUGUUAGAGUUCUAAUGUUCUGUAGUUUAGAUUUAAAUUAGAUGGCGAAUCUUUUAUUUGAUUUUGAUGAAAUCAGUUAGUCUAAUGUAGAUUAAGGUUUGUGUUAAUCAAAGUGUAAUAGAUGUGUGAAAUGCAAAAUCCCACCCUUUGGACCGGUCAGACCAAUUAAGUGGCCCAAAUGGGACUGCUGGGCCAAGCCAAGCUCGCAUGUCUUCAGCCAAUACCUUUAAUUCAGGAUUUAUUUCCAGGCCCAAAGCCCUAGAUUUUCUCUUCAGUAGUUGGGGGGCCAUUUGAAUUUGGCGGCUCAAAGGACUAAACAUGUUGGUCCAUUUUAUUAGAAUAACCCACUGCCCAAUCUGCUCAUAGUUAGUAAUUCCUGCUAAAUUCAAAUCUUUGUGAAUGCAAGUGCCUUUGGGCUUAAUUGAAAUGAAUAUUUUAAUUAUUGAGGUGUGCCAUAUCGAACAAGACCUAUAAUUUAUAGCCCUAAAAAAAUUAGAUCAAGACAUCACUUGAGGAAGUAGACUUGAUGUGUGCCAUAAACAAAUUAAACCAUCUAUGGCCCUCACGAAUGUUAUAAUUUAUAUACUAAAAUAAAUCUCGUAGUUUGAUUUAGGCGCACU
rnacentral:lncRNA from 1 species